UCUCUUGUUGUCGUAUGACCAAUUUUCUUAAAUCUUGAAUGGAAUACUGGAAGAAUAAAGUGCCACAUGGCUGUAGUUAUUAAGAGUAUCAUUUGAUGGUGAAAUGUUAAACAAUGGCUCUUCUCCAUCAGAAUGAUCAGAUGUCGACUCAUCACUCUCCUGAUUGGACAGAGUCUUAAUCACAUGUGAAGUAUCGAGUUAAGUAUCGGCAUAAAGAAAUAGUAAGAGAUUGCGAAAAUGUAUAGGGUAAAACUGGAUCAAAAUUUCUGAAAUACACGAAGAAUUUUUUGAA